rnacentral:tRNA from 1 species
UCCCCAGUGGUCCAGUGGGUAAGGCUCUGCACUUCCACUGCAGGGGGCUUGGGUUCACUCCCCGGCUUGGGAA